CAGAAAAUGUUGCAAGAGCACCCUUUUGGCAGGUCAGACCUCAGAGUAGAAGUGGAUCAGCAGAAUAAGACACUCGGGUAUCUUUAUGGCAAGCUAGAAGUAUGGAGAAUCCCGAAUUGCAUCACAUUUGUCAAGCUGGUGAUUAAUCACUAAAGAUAUAAGAUGGGAUUUCGUGGCGUGAAAGAGAGGGACAAGUCAGUAUGACCAAAAGUUUCAAUCAAUUCGCUUUCAAGUUCUGCCGAGUCCAAAGGCUCAUAAGUUGGGUUGCCCCUAGGUUCUGGAGAGGGCAGAAGAAAAGAGUGUCCCAAGCUUACGAAACCUCCAAAUUCAAGAUGCGUGGUUAUAACAAGAUGGAUGGGCAUGGAAGUAUCAUUAUAUGUUUGAUCUUACGAUGGUCAGCCAUCAAAGGAUUUGGUUAUAACAAUAUCUGGUUGUAUUUCUUCAAGUUGCAAAAAAAUUUGCAAAGUCAUGCCUCAACCCUCAAAGUUGCAGUGGCUGGUUUCCUCAAGACAUGAUAACUAUCGGAAAAAUCAAACCAAGUUUAUGAGCAGGCCAGGGUGCAGAAAGGAAUUGAAUUGGUGCUGUCAAGCUAAUUAGUGCUAUGAUUUUAUGCUGGCAUUGUGGAAUCCAUUUGACUGAUUGAUGUUGGUGCUGUUAGAGUUUUACCUUAUUAACUAGUUAGUGGAUGAAGCUUUUCUUGCCUUGGAACACCAGAAAGAAUAAGUACAUGUGCAUGGCCCAAAGUGUAAAAAUUGAAAUCGCUUUCGAGAUUCCAUCAAGUGACAGAAAUAUGCUACAUGAGGGAAUGGCAUGCAUAGGUUUUUCAACUGUGCAGUGGAAGCUGAAGCAGCUGUUCAGAAUUUCAAACUUGUUGUUUUGUCAAACCAACAGCAUAUCACUUCUGGCUGAACUGUUCUCAUUUCCACUUGAAAGUGAUCUAUAGUCAACUUGCUGAGAUGCACAAACUCCGUACUUCCUUUCUUAUGGAAUUGGACUAGUACUCACGAAUGAAGCUAAUGUGCUGCUGAUUAUGCUGCAAAUUAAGCUUGCUAAACAAAGGAUGUGCAGCAAAUGUGGAUUCCAUUAACAUCAAACUUCUCUCGUACUGAUUUGUGCUUCGUACCUAUUUUUGUCCUUGAACCGUCGGGGCUUGCAUUGCAAGCUAGUUUUUAUUUUCUUACAUUCCCAAUGUUUCUCUGUGUUUCCAUUGUAUUCAUUUUUUCUUUAAUGAAGUACAAUUUUGGGCCAAACCAAAAUGGGUGUAAUAGUUGUACUAUUAAGACAUUAAUGUAAGGCAAGACCAAGACCCCAUUGCAAUGGGUUCCAGAGUAUUACUAGUUAUUUAUAUCGCUGGAACUGAAAAUGUGA